AAUCUCCCCAGUAAUCCGGGAUAACAUCUCGAAAGAGAUGCUAAUACUUGAUAAGCCCACGAUCUCUUCGGAGAACGAGGGAAAAGGUGGGGACCUUCGGGCCUGCCGUUGCUGGAUGAGUCCGCGGCCCAUUAGCUAGUUGGUAGGGUAAUGGCCUACCAAGGCUACGAUGGGUAGCUGGUCUGAGAGGAUGAUCAGCCACACUGGAACUGAGACACGGUCCAG
rnacentral:rRNA from 1 species